UGACUGCAUUAAACUACUACAAGGGCCAUAAAAAGCUGAGGGGGAGUUCAGGCAUCAAAUGUGUUUCCUGGAAGCUCGAGAACUGAAGUAAUCCACUGAGUGGUCUCCUGGCAUUGAUACAAGAAAGGAGGGAAUUUCACAUACAGCAUUGACCUUUAUGGAUCAAACAUUUUGUAUUUGUUCAGAGGCACGUGCCUAUGCCAUGAAGGGCUCUAUUCAGGAGGUGGUGGCACACACAGGGCUGCCAUAGGGUCUGUUUGCACUCAGGCACGUGGCAUGCAGGAGCUGCUCAGCUGCAGUGUCAUUUGGAGCAGGACAACAGCAGACCCAUAAGAAUCCUUGAAUUAACCUUAAGAAGAAACCUUGGGGCCCAUCCCAGCCAUCCUGUGAGCCCCUAUGGAAACACCCAGCUGCCAGCAACAAUCCUGUCUGACACUUAGCAAGAUCCAUCCACGAGCCACCAGCUUGCUCUGACUGAUGGUAACAUUCAAGCAUUAUUCCAAAGGGACAGGAAAGCCCCUUGGAGACUCAA